CUUGCGAAAUCUUGGUAUUUUUCAUCAUGACAAUGACAAUGGCAGUAACAAACAGGCAGGAGAAGAACAAGGCUCCCGCUACAUACAGUGGUAUGUAAGGAUCCCCUUUUAAUAAAACACAAAGCAUUCAGAAUGAAGAUCAAUUAGGUAUUAUUCAUGAUCAUUUUAUCUAUUAGUAAUAACAAUAUACUGUGACUCACCAGGAGUAUAUAACAGGGCUGUGUCAUUCCUGUUGGGGUGGUUGUUGAAUUCUCCAUUCACAGUGACUGUGACAUUAGUUAUUACCUUCCAGUGCCCUUUUCUAUUCUUAAGCACCUGUAAGGCACAAACAUACUGUCCGCUGUCUGAAUAUGUGGCAUUGCUGAUCUUAAGGUUAUGAAAGAUAGGGCUUGUUAGGGGUUUAGAUGAAGUGUUUGACCUUCGUUUCAGCAGGGCCUCAUCAAUGAGACAAUGGUGGUCAUAUAAUUGUGCAUCACUAUCAUAAGAAUUAGAAUAAAGACAUGUGCUACUAACAUAAUUUGAUGUUAAAUAUUUUCAUAAACAGAUAUGUCUAUAUACAAUAUAUUGUACAGUAUACUGUAAUGUGAGUUGUAUAUCAUUUAGAAAUUGUGAAAGUUAGGAAAUGUGAACUUACUCUUUGGUUCAACAAAUGCCACAAUAAAUGAUUCCACCUGAUCUUUUGAAGGUUUAAAGGGGAAUAAGUGUUGGUCAUUUGAUGGAAAGGUAUGAAAACAUGCAAAGAAUCCAGUGACGUGUUUCUCCAAUUUCAUAUUUAAACAUUGUUUGAUACUGUUUUUGCAGGGUUUUUUUCAAUGUAAAUGCUGUAUUAUUGCACUUCGGAUCUUGGCCACAUUUCUUCUCAUUGUCAUGAAGACUGCAAUUAAAAGUGCAAUCCACUAUGUUGUCUUCAUCUAGAUCAAGUUGCCAAAUUCUCUCUUCACAUUGUAGGGAUAUAGCUUCCUCUUUCUCUUGAUAAUUUAGAUAAGUGUUCCCUUUGAGAGAGAAAAAGGUUUCCAAAGUUAGAAUCAAGCUCCUCGAUUGUAGACUCACAAAC
ensembl:lncRNA